GACGAACGCUGGCGGCGUGCUUAACACAUGCAAGUCGAACGGAAAGGCCCUGCUUUUGUGGGGUGCUCGAGUGGCGAACGGGUGAGUAACACGUGAGUAACCUGCCCUUGACUUUGGGAUAACUUCAGGAAACUGGGGCUAAUACCGGAUAGGAGCUCCUGCUGCAUGGUGGGGGUUGGAAAGUUUCGGCGGUUGGGGAUGGACUCGCGGCUUAUCAGCUUGUUGGUGGGGUAGUGGCUUACCAAGGCUUUGACGGGUAGCCGGCCUGAGAGGGUGACCGGCCACAUUGGGAAUGAGAUACGGCCCAGACUCCUACGGGAGGCAGCAGUGGGGAAUAUGGCACAAUGGGCGGAAGCCUGAUGCAGCAACGCCGCGUGCGGGAUGACGGCCUUCGGGUGGUAAACCGCUUUCGCCUGUGACGAAGCGUGAGUGACGGUAAUGGGUAAAGAAGCACCGGCUAACUACGU
rnacentral:rRNA from 1 species